rnacentral:rRNA from 1 species
AAAUGAAUAGACGGGGACCCGCACAAGCAGCGGAGCAUGUGGUUUAAUUCGAAGCAACGCGAAGAACCUUACCAGGACUUGACAUACUAGUGCCAGUCGUAGAGAUACGAUAUUUUCUUCGGAAACACUAAUACAGGUGGUGCAUGGUUGUCGUCAGCUCGUGUCGUGAGAUGUUCAGUUAAGUCUGGCAACGAGCGCAACCCUUAUAUUUAUUUGCCAGCGAGUUAAGUCGGGAACUAUAAAUAGACUGCCGAUAAGAAAUCGGAGGAAGGUGGGGAUGACGUCAAAUCAUCAUGCCCUAUAUGUCCUGGGCUACACACGUGCUACAAUGGUCGUUACAGAGAGCAGCGAUACAGUGAUGUUCAGCAAAUCUCAAAAAGGCGAUCUCAGUUCGGAUUGUACUCUGCAACUCGAGUACAUGAAGUCGGAGUUGCUAGUAAUCGCGAAUCAGAAUGUCGCGGUGAAUGCGUUCCCGGGUCUUGUACACACCGCCCGU